GAGUUUGAGACCCCUGAGUUAGAUCAUGUUUGUCACCAGUAGAGGGCAGACUCGUGUCUUUUCUGUAUUAGCCGUUCCUGAUUCUGUAACAUAAAAACCGUAUUGGAACCAUUAGGACCAUUAGAAGCUGUUUUUUGUAUCCGAGAACCUCUUGUCCCCAACCUUUAUGUUAUCUAUUCUCAACAGCAGGAUAAUGGUUGUUGGGUGUCAUUAGGUAAAUGUUAUGGUGAUGCCACUUGCCUGGGAUCACAUGCCAGAGUUGUAUCAUCCAGCACACUUGAAGGCACUUUUCUUUUUAUACAGGGCUCCAACUCUCCACUCUGCCUCGUCUCUCACUCCAACCUCACACGUGACUCUCUGGCACCUUUCGGUUGCCGCGUUGUGUGAGAACUUAGGGAAAGUGUGUUAGAUCUGUGCAGAGAUGUCUUAUCACCCCUGGCUCCACUGGAUCAAACUCACUGGCCCAGAUGCCAACUCAAGAGUGAAUUAUCGUUGAGAGGGUGCCUAAGAGAGAUGGAAAUAGACAGAGAGGAAAGAGGGGGGAGGUGAGAGGUAGAAAUGUGUUUUAUAGAGUGGGUGCCCUUUUUGUAUUGAUUAGCAUUGUUUUGGCUACAGAUGGAAAUUAAAUUGUUUUCUCUCUCCUUUAGUUCCCUCCUGACUUGCUUCUUUUUUUUUUACUCUUUGCACUUGCUGACCUUCUUCCCACUCAUUUUUCUACUGAGCUUAACCUGUGUAGGCAAUCUUCAUCACUAGCUGUAAGACUGAUUGCUUUACUCUCUCCUCAAGCAAUUACUUUUUUCGAAAAGUCACAGGUAAGUUUUGCUCAUUAGAUUUUCUAUCCACUAACUAAUCCUGACACAGCCCUCCAGAUCUCACCUAUGUCUCUGCAAAGUUCUUCUUAAAACAAUUGAUUUCCCCCCCCCAAACUCUUUAUCUGCUCAAUUGCUGGUCUAAUAUUCUUCUAUGAUAAUAGGAACCCAGACAGAGAUGCGUAAUCCACAAACGUGCAGUCAUUCCAGUCUCAUGCGCCUCACAGGUGUCAUGAUUUUGCAGAUAAGUAUUGGAAAUGAGACCACUUGACCUCGAAACGUGAUAGCGCUUUUGCAGUAGCGGCUCCUUUUCUCAACGCGUCUGGCUGUAUCAAUGGAGCCCACACGCAUGCACCGCAUGCAGCCCGCUUCGCCUUUAAAAACAUAUUGAUUUCUCUCUUUCACGGGGAGCUUAACGCGAUCGAUUGCAGGGGCCCUUUCAAGUAUAAGCAUCUCUUCCCCUAACGCACAUGCUGCCUUUUCCCCUCAGGUAAUGAUUGUCCUUGGUCUGGGGGAAUAGUUUGUCUGCAUUUAGAAGAAGUGUUUCUCUUUUCAUCCAAUCCAUCUCCCUCCUCCUUGUGUUACCAGCCCUGUGGUUAGGUAUGGAACAUGAAUUUACUUACUGAAAAAAAAAAAAAAACGAAUCAAAUGCAGAGCACACCUUCUUUGACCUUUUAUUAUUAAACGCUUUCAGAUUUAGCGCCUCCUUUUUCCACCUGUUAGUGGUUCCACAUCUUUGUGCAUCUGCAUUCCAGCAUGUACUCCAUUUUCUCUAAGGUUUUUAUGCAGACAUUUCCCACUUUAGAUGAAAUAAGAUGCUUCUUGUAGUGGCCUGCCAGUUUCUGACAUCAGUCUGAAUAAAGUACGACCCACACUUCACUUUCGUCUCGGUUGCUUGACAGCUUUCAUGUCUGCUUGUUUCAAGUCACCACAUAACAUCUAAAUGAGAUCAAGAUCUGGACUUUGACUAGAUCUAGGACUGUAUAGCUAAUGAUUCUCAGCAAGCCCUUGUUGGAUUUCUUGGCAUGUUUUGGGUUAUUGUCAGGCUGCAGGUUCUUGUUCUUUUUUCAGAUUUUCGAACUUUCCUCAGGAACAGUAGAUUCAUAGCGGAUUCUGUGAUGGCACACGGCCAGCAAAGCAUCUCCAAACCACGACACUUCCAAGUGAAGUAGUUCCAAUUUUCAGUAAAACUUUGAAAUCAUCUUCAUCACCUGAAGGUGACUAAAAGUUGAAUUGCUCUGUAAAUCUUGUGGAUGAUGUCAUUCAUUUCUUUAUUCUCUAUAAAUACUGUAAAACUUGGCAACAGCUCUGUUUUUCUCUGAGCACUCUUGUUGCUUUCUCAACAAGAGUGGAAGCAGCAAUACUGUCAUUUCCCACAUUUCCUGCAUUUUGAUUGCCUUUAUUUUAGUUCCUUUAUUUUAUUCCCUUGACUACGGUCUAAACACAACAUCCACUUCUGCUGCAAAAAUCAUUAAAGUAUGUUGUGAUUAACCUUCACGAUAAAUGAAAAACUAUCUUAACUAUCUAAAUAGAUAAUUGAAAAAUGUUUGGAGAGAAUAAAGCGAUUGUCCUCAGUUUUCUUAUUGAAUGAGUUUGUGUUCUUAGUGUCAAUGGGGGGGAAAAAUAACUUUCUUGAAUCAUUUAUAUGUCCUCCCUGCUCUUUGGAAACUCAGCUAUGAACGUGAAAUUCUCACUACAGAGUUUCAAGUAUUUGUGGUAUGAACAGGCUUUAACAUCAUUAACGCAAAUAUUUUAUAUGUAUAACAUAGUCUUUUUUCCCCCCAGUGCAUUCCAAAUUAUACAAUACCUUGCAAAGUAUUCAUAUUCUUUUAACCAUUUCAUAUUUUGCUAGAUUGCAACUGAAACACUUCUAUGUAUUUUAAUGGGAUUUUGUGUGAUAGAGGAACGUAAAGCAGAGUGCAGAUGUGAGGUCGAAUUUUAAAACGAUGAAUAGUUGCCAACCGUUCUACUAUAGAGCUGAAAGUAUGUUUGUUGUCAUCAUGCCAGAAGGUGAAGCCGGCCUCAAAUCUCUAACUGGUUUGUUCUGCAUUCAGCUCUUUCCAUCAUCCCAUAGACUCUGACCAGCUAAAUCAACCCUACAGCAUGACACCUCCACCACCUUGUUUCAGAAUGGAAAUUGUGUGCUCAGAAUAAUGCAUGGUGUUAGUUUUGCUUAACACAUGUCUGAAGAUUCUUCCAGAGCAGCUGUGGAUCUCUGCAGCUCCUCCAGAGUUACCACCGGCAUCUGUGAUUCUUCUCUGGUAAUGGUCUCCUUCCUGACCCAUCAGCGGAGGUAGGCGGCCAUGUUUGAACUCUGUUUGAUUCUAUUGCUAGCUGAGCAUAAUCGUUUGAGCUGGAUCUUAAUAAACGUAUAAAACAAAAGGGAUGUGAAAGUAAAUGAACACCACAGUUUUAGAUUUAUUUGUAGAAAAUAUUUAAAACUUAUAAUUUUCCUCCACUUCAGUUAUCCUCUGGUUUGUCUUGAUCUUUCAUAUAAUAUCCCAAUAAGACCAGGAGAUGUACAUGGUUCUAAUGUGAUCAAAUUUAAAAAAGUUCAAGGGGUAUAAAUACUUUGGCAAUUUGAUGUAUGUAGUCAUAAAAUGUACAGUUCCCUGUAGCCUUAGUUGAAGUAAACAUGCUUUAAAUCUCAUUUAUAAUUUAAAGCUCAGCUGAGUAUGCCUUGGGUUUUACCAUGAUUAAGACCUAAGUGUGCAGAUCUACUAAUGAUUUAAUUCAGAUGUUUGAGAUUUAUAAUGUUUUAAAUUCACAUGAUUUAUCUUGAGUCUGUGCUUUUCUCCCGAAAGUCGAGUGCUGCAUGUGAAACUCCUUGCAAUGUGCAGAACAAUUAAAUCUCUGCCGUGACAAGUGGUGCGUUCUCCUAUGCCCCCACUGGCCUACUAUCGACUCGCAGCUCUCUCUCACACCCCCGCUGCCCCCUUCCCGCCUCCUGCUGUCUCAACAAUUAAAUCAGUCAAGCUGACUCUCUUUCCUGUGUGCUGGGGGCCAGCAGAGGGGAAGUACACAAGGAAAGAAAAGCACUCCCUGAGUUCAAGUGCACAGGCUUUAAAGACACAGCUGGCUUCAGCAAACCCAACCGAUCGACGAGGGAAAAUCAGCCGUGGAAGGGCAGAAUAAUACACCACUGACAACGUGGUGGUGUACGUAGAUGCGGCCUGCUCCGAUUUUCUCAGCAACCCUUUCUGCAGCUCCAAGACUUUCCAUUUGUUCUCGGGUGAAGCAUCCGGUGGAACUGGUUGUGCAGAGCUCUGGCACAUGCUGUCCCAGAUACACACUCAGCAGCAGCAGCAGUGGAUCAGCGUGCCUCUCACUUUACCGCCUGUGACUUUAUCCGCUGCCUUUCCCCUCCAGCGCUCCUCCUCGCAGGACCGACUUCCUUUGUCCAUAAGGCAUGUUUUCCUUUCAAAGUGCUGAAUGCCAAGGGAUGAAGAACAGACAAAUGGUGUUUGGGGAGAAGAUAGGGAGGCAUCAAUGGAUAAAAUCUGACAUUACUGGAGUGCCAUGGAGAUGCCAGAGUGCAAAACGACUUUAAAAAAAAACACAAACGAGACUAAGAAUGAGGGAACGGAGAGGAAGAAUCAGAUUGGAGUCGGGAAAGAAGAAACUUUGGAAAAAAGCUGGCUUCAGCUCCAGCUUUACAAGGCGCAGGCCAUGAUGUAAGUGAUCUCAAGGUAACAUCUUUCCGGAAUAUUUCUGUGCAAUUUCUCGGCAUGAAAUAUUUCUACGCAAUACACAAACAGACACCCACAGAUUAGACGGCUGUAUUAAUGACAAUGGCUCAUGGGAAUUUGGCCAGACUGACCCUCAGGGAAAAUAAUUAAUUUAGGAAGAAAGAAAAAAAAAAGAUGGAAGGAAAUAAGAGAGGUAGAAGCCAAAGAAGGUUGCAGUCAGUGUGACUGUACAAUCUUUCCAGAUAAUUUAUGACCGUGCUGGAUAUUUUUUAUCUUUUGGGUGACAGGCAGGGGAUUAAAUAUGCACUCCGAAUGUCCAUAACAUAUUCAAGCUCUUGAUCUGAGAAUUUCUUUCCCGACAAAAGAUUUUGCCGAAGACGCUCGAUAAUCGCACGGGUACAAAAAGCUUAAAAGGCAGGACAUAUUCUGUGUGAUUAGUGCUGCUACUAAAUUUAGUCUGUUUAAUAAAGGCAAUUAGAUACUACUAUAGAUUUUACUUGUUUGAAAUUUCUGUCUAAAUGACUUUUCUUAUGUUUAAGUUGCAUUCUAAUAACAUCUGAUGUCUAUGUCCUGCUUUUAUUGUGUUUUGCUUUUUAUCUUUUUUAUCUUUUAAUGUAUGUCAAGUUUUUCUAGCACAUAGUUUUGAGAGUUCUUAAAAUGUUGA